rnacentral:miRNA from 1 species
AAAAUUUCUUGCCAGGAGAG